GACGAACGCUGGCGGCGUGCUUAACACAUGCAAGUCGAACGGAAAGGCCCUGCUUUUGUGGGGUGCUCGAGUGGCGAACGGGUGAGUAACACGUGAGUAACCUGCCCUUGACUUUGGGAUAACUUCAGGAAACUGGGGCUAAUACCGGAUAGGAGCUCCUGCUGCAUGGUGGGGGUUGGAAAGGUUCGGCGGUUGGGGAUGGACUCGCGGCUUAUCAGCUUGUUGGUGGGGUAGUGGCUUACCAAGGCUUUGACGGGUAGCCGGCCUGAGAGGGUGACCGGCACCAUUGGGACUGAGAUACGGGCCAGAAUCGUACGGGAGGCAGCAGUGGGGAAUAUUGCACAGUGGGCGGAAGCCUGGUGCAGCAACGCCGCGUGCGGGAUGACGGUCUUCGGGUUGUAAACCGCUUUCGCCUGUGACGAAGCGUGAGUGACGGUAAUGGGUAAAGAAGCACCGGCUAACUACGUG
rnacentral:rRNA from 1 species